UGCUGGACACUUCCUGUAGAUUAAUAACCAUCUGGGCUUUCAGUACAGCCCAGCUGGCUAUUAAUCUGCAGAAUAAUAUCAUGGA